ACAUGCCUACAGCAUAGUGUUAAUUCAUUGGAUCCCAUUAGAACUUUGCAAUUAAGCGCACUCGGGAUAGAGUAGUACUGGGAUGGGUGAUCGCCCAAGAAUUCCUAGUAUUUUACAUGUC
rnacentral:rRNA from 1 species